UUCUCUUUUUCUCUGAUAAUAACUUGAUAUGCAUUUAAUGCAUGAUCUCUCUCUCUCUCUCUAGAUUCCAAUGAUUUUCGUUCUUCGAUUUUCUCUUUUCAAUGGCAUUUCAAUGCAUUAGUAGGUGUUUCAUCUCUCUGAAACGGUGCUAAUUCCAUUGCCUGUACAUUCAUUUGAACAGGGAUUUUAUCUGGAGGUUGGACUUUCUGCAUGUAGUAACAUUGUGGCAAUAUAAGUUCUUGGGUAAAUUGAAUGGUCGGUUUUAUCAGUUCGGAUUGACAUACAAGUCGGAUUUUUCUCAAUUUACUGUCUUGUUCAAUAUUUUGGCUUGAGAAAAGGAAUGCUUAAAGGGUAUAUAGAAUUUUAUGUCGGCUAAUUGCAGAGAAGAACGUUUUUAUUGUAGUUGAUCUGUUCUACUUACUAGUCCUGGUAAAGAGUUAUAAAAUGCUGGAAACUGAAUUAUGUUCUUCACGGGUUUUUUCACCUUCUCGCGAGGAAAGUGGUGAUGAAGAGCUUUCUGUUCUUCCGAGGCAUACAAAGGUCAUUGUGACUGGGAACAACAGAACAAAGAGUGUUUUGGUCGGCCUGCAAGGUGUUGUCAAGAAGGCUGUUGGGCUUGGCGGUUGGCAUUGGCUGGUAUUAACAUUUUACCACCAUAAGAUGAUAAAGCAUGUUUGGCUGAGCUUAAAAACGUUUACUUAUAAAUAAAUAACUUUUUUGUCAUAAAUGGUUCCAUAAGUAUAUCUGAUGGUAAAGUGACAUUAAGUAAGAGUUAUUUUCAACAUAAACCUUUUUUUUUUUUUUUUUUUUUUUUUUUUUU